GCUUUCUGUGCCUUUGCAAGUGAGAGGCAGACACAGAUUGCAGCUUCAGCUGGGUCCUUCUUUCCAUGAGGAGAAGGAAGAUCUUCAGCAUUCAGAAACUGAAGGCUGACCAUGAGAUGUCUUCACAGGCUUGCCUCACUUUUCCUUCUGGUUCUGCAAGGAGAAGGAAAUCACUAUUUUGGGCUCUGCCCUUCUGUCCCUUCCUCUCUGCUCCUAUAGGAGGGAAAUUACCUGUCCUACACUGUAUAUAUUAUGUGUAGAUUAUUCCAUGAUCCUGAGGUACCUCCAGGCCGGUGUUACAUGUGGGCAUGCAGGAAACUUCAGAUCUUAUUAAGAGAAAUUUCACAACUCUAAUGAUAAAUAAACUGGAGGAAUAACUUGCUGGAUAACACCUAUGAGAAUUCUGGGAGGUGGAACUAGCACUUGCCAACCAAAACUUCAUUCUUCUUGGCAUUGUGACUUCUAGCUCACAACUUCCUCACAAUGGCCCAAAUUCAGAAAUAUCUUCUCUGUGGCCUAAGAACCAGAAGUGGUACUCCUGCCUUGGAAUGUAAUCAAAAUGAGGAGCUCUGCCUUCUGAAGACAGACAUUCUUCUUUAUGAGAAUUUGUCAGAAUAUACCUGUGAAAACUGAUGCUAAACUGGAUUUCAGAUGCGGCAAUGUUUCUCAUCCAAAAUGACAACGUUUCAUGGCAAACUUUUAUCUUCUCUUUAGUUUUCAGCCAGAAUGCUUUAGCUUCUAAAAUUAUUUGUGACAAACAGUAACAGUCUGAGUGAUACGUUCUCAGUGACAUACUAUGUUCCUUCAAUAAAUCUACUCAGACAGAAGCCUUCUGCAGGAAGGACUGGGUCUGUUUGGGGAAAGAAGGCUUCUGAGUCUGGAGAAGAGGGGACUGGAAGGAACUUGGAGGCUGUACUCGGUAAGGAGCUGGGAAAUUCAAUCAAGCAGACAGACAGGUCUCUGACAUGAUAGAGAGAGAAAUUUUUAAAGGCUAAGAGGGGAGAGAGUAGAGUUUGAUGUAACUCAAAAAGCUACUCACUUGGCUGAAAGCAAGCCUGAAAGCAAACACCUACUCUAUAGGGACACAGCAAGCAAGGCAGAAAGCUGUUUAAAAGUCUUUUUGUAGUUGGUUUGUCUCUAGACAGAUCCAUCUGGACGUUCUGGCUGACAGGAGGUCCCAUUACACAGGGUUUGAUCAGUUCUAAAUCUUUUCAGGAACCUACUGUGAAUGAGAAAGUGCUUUGCAUCAGAUACUGGUUAUAAUGGUUCUAACACUUCUGCUUGUUUAACAAAACCCUUUUGUUCUUCCUUAUUUGCUGGCAGUACUGUGUUGCUGCAGUAAACAGCUGCUGUGUAGUACACAGCCUAAACUACCAGUGCAAUCACCAUUGGGUAGUACAUGUACAUUACUCAGCCUCCCUGUGUCAGUACGGAUAGUUCUGUCUGAAAAUCUGAACUGGAAACAGUUGUUCUGUGGUUCUACUGAUACUGUGAUCAGACCCUUUUAAUCUAUGAAAACAUGAUUGCAUACUUUCUGUCUUUCUUUCUUUAGGAAAAAAAAAAAAAAAAAAAAAAGCUCAUUUUUAUCACUCCAUAAUUUAUUUUGUUACUAGACAUAAAACAGAUUUGGUUUCUGUAAUCUCUAAGGAAGCAGUGAGUAUGCAGUUCAGAAGUACAGACAGCAUGAGUUUAGACAUACUGUAGACAUUCAGGAUGCUGCUUAGCCUCUUUUAGACUGUCAGGCACCAAAUUCAAGUGUAAAUCAGCACAGAAAUGCCAUCAUCGUUAAGAAGCGGGAUUUUUGUCUAGCCUUUCCUCCAUAAAUUGCAAAGGUGCUUCUUAUUCAACAGUCUUAAAGCUCUCUUGCUUUUAAAGUCUCUUGUUUAUUUGUUUAGCUUUCAUAUCACACAGUAGAAGAUGAAUCUUAGUAAGAAAUAAAAAGUUUAAACUUCCUGGCUACCUGGGUGGCUAGUGAUGAUGGUGUCCCAUGCUUUUGCAAAGAUUAAUGUUCUAUAUUUUCACACACAAUGGAUUUCUAUCUGGAGCAAUUUCCCUCACAUGGUUAUUCUGUAAGCAACACAAUAGUAGAUUGUAUAUUUAUAAUGGAAAUGGCUGUUCUUGUCUUAAUUGUGUUUCACUGUUCCAUGUUCCAGAGGAGAAAUUGGGCAGUGGUCAUAUGUUGUUUGUUAUGUAUUAGUUGCAAAUAGUAAUACUUUUUCUGAGUUAUACAUAAGUUUUUUGUACUUUUUGUGUGGCUGUAUGAAAUACAGAUUGUCUGUGAGGGCUGUUGCUGUUAAUGUAAGUAAGCAAGCACAACAUUUUAAUUCACUAGUGUAUCUGUGACUCUUUAAAUUGGGCCUACAUUUGGAAUAUGUAUUGGGCCUGGUGGAAUAUAUAUUGCUUGUUAGUUGCACGAGAAGCUUUAUGUUGGAUUGUGUGUUAGGCAAACUUCCCUGUGUUCUUCUAUACCAGUACCUGAAAUCUCACCAGCUCACUUGCACCUGAUCGGUUGUUGGUGGACCUGGGAGAUAGUUUAAGAAAACCAUAAACACCCUUCCCCAGCCUCAAAAGAAAUAAAAUAACUCAAAAUUACCACUUUUAAUAGCACCGGAGUAGAGGAAUCAGUGUUCUCUUCACAAUCAGAUCUCAUUCCUUCUUCCUGAAUAUGAAAAACAACUUUUCACAUCAUCAUAUUAUCUCUAAAUAUUAUUAGUGGCCUUAAUGAAAUGCUCCCAUUCCCAAAAGGAGCACAGAGCCUUUUGUAUUCUACUUCCCUUCUCCCCUCACCCAAGAUUUGCCUCAACAGCAGGAGACUGACCUAGCUUUGAGCUGCAAGGCUCCUGGUCUCUCAAAGGAAAAGUAAGCACUCUUCAUCGAGGCCAACUGCUCCCCAGAUUGUCUUUUUGUUUCCCCACAUUGUCCCUGAGAACCCAACUCCAGUCAAACAAAUUAUGCUGGUGUAUGAAUAUGGCUACCGUUAUUUAAUCUUUGCAUCACUCCUUUUCUUAUUAAUCUGGUAGAAUGAUGAAAUUGACUCUGCCCUGUAGAUGCUCUGUGUCUGAUCACAACAGCAACGCAGACACGUGCACACUACAAUGCCAUUCAUAUGUUAUCACAUUAAAACUGCCACACUGCUGCGUUGCUUCCUUUUUAGAAUGAGAAGAUUUAAAUGUUUACUUCACUACAGUGGCAGCAUCAUAACUCCAAAUUUUAGCAAUGACUUUAGCAGAUUUCUUAACAUCAAUGGAUAAGUUGGAUAAAUGAAUUCUUACUGAGAUGGACAAAGGCACUUGGGUGCCUUCAUUGUUGGUAUGCAGGUUUGUGGUAGCCUGAAUUCCCUUUUCACUUAAUUCUCCUCUUAUAUGGACAGUGGAAGUUCAAGAGAGGAUGGAGUUUCUUUUCUUGCAAAGCAGUUGCUCUUCAGACCUUUGGUUUUAAGCAGAGUUGAAAUUCCUGAUGGCCUGCUAGUGUAUUUAUCCUCCUGAAUGACAGAUGAAGGUCUCAUCCCUACUGUUUUCCUUAGGGCGUAAAUCUACCAGACUAGUAAAGCCAGGACAUAUUUUUGAGCAUAAACUUCAAGAUUUAGAAUUUGAAUCCAUUCACUUUGUGAACAUAUAAGUUCCAUAAUAACAUUCUUUUCCUGUGGGGAAUGUACUCCUAUUUUUUUAUGUGUGUGGCUAAAGGACAGAGAUAUGCUGGUUACUUUUUCCUCUUUUUACCUUGAAAGGUGUCAGAUGGUUUUCUCUUAUUUUCUGUGUGUUUUCAUGUAUGGAUAUCACCCCCUGGUAUGCAAAGGGUGAGAAAAGAGGGAUUGUACCUUUCUCUCCUGUGAGUACUGUUUGUGCAAGAGGAUGCAGAACACAGAUGCUGCCAACAGCUAGAUCCAAAAUUACUUAUUUAUUUUUUUUCCCCAAGAGUACCUACAGAACCAGAAUGCAGAUUAAAUCAUGGUUUCUGCCUCACUGGAUAGCACAGCAGCAUUUCCUCAAAUCGGUAGCUGUUGUGCUGCAGUAUGACAAGUGCUGCAGAGUUCCUCCAGCAGCUCCCACAUCUAUAGAGUCCCUCACAGCCAAGGCUGCAGCUUCAUAGCAAACACUUGAGUCUUGCUUUCAACGAAUUUCCACAUUUAUGGCUCUUCUCCUUUGCCUGUAUUUCCUUGGAGUACCUUCUUUGCAGAAACGCCCCAUGAUGACUCAUAUGCUUCUUAUUGAUAGUACGUAUGUAUGUAAAUAUGUAUGAUUGGGAGAAAUACAUCUGGAGAGUAGAAGAGAUUGCAUUUUUUAUACUUUCAGUGUCUUCUUCCUUCCCACUCACAAGACAUGAUUUCAUGCAGGUUUCUGCAGAAAAUUGAGCUGCAGAGCACUGGCUGGAAGGCUGAUUGGAACAGAGCUUCCACAAGCAUCAUGACCAUAUUGGUAGCAACAUACAGUGAGUUAAAGACAUCUAAGGCUAAGUCCUUGCUCCACUCUGUUCAAGUGCUUCCAGUCCACUUUUGUGUGAAGAACUCAUUCAUGUGAAAUGAGCUUCUUCACUCUUCUGCUUAUGCUAACAGCUGUACUAACAGUGCCUUAUUUAUGCUAGCUACUAUGUUAGGUUAUCACUGGAUACCAUAAUGUGAUGGUAGAUCAGAUCUGCAACGAAAUAAAACAUGCUCUGGUCUUAACGUGAGUGUAGGCGAAUAAAAUUAAGUUGUAAUUAUUUCUCUAUUUCUAGUUCUUUGUGAAAAAAUUUUGCUUUUUUUGGUUAGCUCUUCAUCUAGAAUUAUACAUUUGCAAAAAGAGAUGGCUGCAAAUAUGCCAAAUGUGUCUACUUUGGGCAGUUAUUUAGACAAUUUUACCACAAAUUUAGUUCUCACAGUUAAAUGUGCAGUAAAGUGAUCAGAGUGGCGGUGAUCAUUGUAUAUAGUAAAUGUCUAGACUUUCAAGCCUUACAAAACCAAUUUAUUUUUAGCAAGAAAGAUGCAAAGAGACUCCUCAUAAAUUCACAUGAACACAAUAGCAUUAUCUGAGAGGAUAUUUGUUUCUUUAAUUGAGUGUAUAAGUGUUUCAUAGCGUUAUCAAUUUUCUCACCUUCUUCUCUAUCAUGAAAUUUAAUCAGUUUCCCUGCUUUACUGCUUAUGCUUUCUCCUAUAAAUGGAAAGUCCUCAUUAAUGAGAACCCAUUUUGUCCUUCUGAGUUAUGAAACCACAUGACGGAUGACUCUUAAAGUCUUCAUUGCAAGGUUUGCACAGGGAUCUUAUUGAUAAUAAGAUUAAAUCACAGCUUGUUUAAAGCAUUAGCAGAAAAACAAUGGAUCCUGUUGACCUAAGGCAGAAAGUAUGGACAAAAAAUCCUUUAAGGAUGCUUCAGAAUUAUAAUCAUCCAUCCUUAUUAACACAUAGAUAGAAUCAACAAAAUUGGAAGAUUCUUUAUCCAAGCAGAUACGUAGGUUUACUAUCAUCACUCACAUACUUCUAUACAUCUGCCUGGUCUGUUCAUUACCUCAAAUCAAGGUUGCAGUAGAAUUUCUGUGGUUGUAAUUCCUCUGUCAGUGCCUGGCACCCCUGGAGACCUUGUGCCUCUGCAGCUCUUCCUCAGAACCAGGACAGUACAUGAAUUUAAUGACAGCCUUUCUGGUCAGAAUGACUGUGCUUAUGACUGUAGUGUGUUACAGGUCUAAAGCCAAGGAGCUGAGGUUGAGCACCACGUACAUCUCUGGAUGUCUGCAAGUGGUGUUUUAUGGUGAUGGCAGGAUGUAAAAUGACUAGAAAAUAACCUUUAUUCUCCCCGUUUGACUUGAGUGUGGUUUUUAUUUGUUUUCCUAAUUUCUAUUGAAAAUUAUUUGAGGGCAAGAAGAGGAUAACAUGUAUCAGCAAGGAUCUUAAUGAGACAUUGUAGCAAAUGAUUUCAUUACACAUGAUAAGUUGAUUAAAAUGAGAAAUACUAAAUGUGGCUUUAGAAUAUAGAAGUUAGUCUGAACAUAUAUCUAGGCCUGAAGAGUUGAGUUUAUUAUGUUUUCAAGUUAAGUGCUCAUGUGAAUUGUAGAAAUAGCACAGUGACUUCUCCAAACAUGUUUUGAGUUGCUGUGAUUUUUUUACAUUUUAUUUUUGGAAUUACAACAUAAUGGCUUCUUUCACAUGUAUGUAUGACCUUGGGUUAUGUUUUUUGUUUGUUUUGUUAAUUGAUGUAACAUCUUUUAAACUUGUGUUACUUUUGUAUGUUGUCACAUAUUGCAGUUCACACCAUGUAGAAAAGACUUGUGAAGGACACAUGCUUUAGGAGGCUGGCUCAACCAGUGUUAAAGCCAAAAUAUUUUUGCCUGUUUUGUAACAUCUUUGGAAAAAUAAAAAUAAAAAUAAAGAUGAUACGAAUGAUUCAAGAUUCCCAUUAAGUAAGCCUUAAGAUUUGCUUCAAAUUAACUACCCCUGGUCUGUCUCUUAGUGAACAAGAAAGUUAAUUCCAGGAAUACCCAUUGAGUCUAAUUGAUGAAAAGGUGCUGCAUUCACAGUCCAUGUUGGCAGCUACUCAGAUUCUUCCUUUCUUUUUGCAUAAGAGUGAUGCCAGUUAAAAUAUUUUGCAUAUCAAAAUUAAAAUCCUACUACAUUAAACAAUGCUGUAGUCCAUUAGGCCAGAGAAAGAAUGUGUAAGUAAUUUUAUUUCCACAUAAUUCCUCUGGAUUUCUGUUGGCAUUAACUGGAUAGGAUUUAGUCACUGAGGAUGAAGCACAGAUUUUGCAUUAUUUUCAAGCUACUAAUUUUACUUGACUAGCUAAAAAUAUUAAAAAAAAAGUAAUCACCAUUUAUUAUCAUAUAACAAAAUAUUCUCAUCCCAGCAUGUCUGCGGAUUUUGCUUGUUUACUUAAAUUAAAACAAUUUAUCUCAAUACACCUGCAAAAAAUUAAAGGUUCAUUAUCUCUGGGUAAUUCUGAGAAAACAGGAGAGAGAAAGUAGCUGGGCUCCUUUAUAGCCACCUUCACUGAAUGUUAUUUCUGAUUUCACAGCUCCAUAUUCUAUAAUUUUAAGAAAAUAUCUCUUCAGGGCUUAAGAUAGCUUGUAGACUUAAUAAAAAGUGUCACUAUAGUUGCUGUUACUUUACAAAUAUAAAUGGUGACCUAUAUAUUUAUUUGUAUUAUUCAAAGAAUCCAUUGAAUGGAUAAACAUCUCUUCCUUCACCUUUAUGUGUAAAUAUCUUUUUUCUUUUUCUUGGAGUACCUUGGGAUGAGUGAAUACAUCUAAGCAUUUUGAGAGUUGCUAAGAGUUGUUAAUAUUUUAGCUUCCAGCCUGUGUUGUUGGACUGAGUGACAUAUUUAGCUAAAAUUUAAACUUUAGCUCCUUGCAGAAAGCUGUAUGGCUGUCUGAGGACUAAAAUCAGUGCUUUUAGAGCUAUAAGAGAUGGACUUCAUCUUCCACAAGAUGAUAAGUUGGAUAUGCUAACAAAGCACCAUCCUGGGUAAUACAGCUGCCAAUCCAACUUAUUUGACUGUAGAACAAAAUGUUUGUUUUUUUGUGUGUGUGUUGGAGAAAGGUGAAUUGUUCUGAAAAAUGUUUUUUUGCAACAUUUAUUUUUGUUAUAAUAAAAUUUUGUUAAAAUUGAAUUCUCAUUAUCAAUUGUGUAUC